UUUAAAAUCUGGCGGUCUCCGGCCGUCCGAGUUGUAAUUUAGAGAAGCGUUAUCCGUGCUGGACCGUGUAUAAGUCUCCUGGAAUGGAGCGUCAUAGAGGGUGAGAAUCCCGUCUUUGACACGGACUACCAGUGCAUUGUGAUGCGCUCUCGACGAGUCGAGUUGUUUGGGAAUGCAGCUCAAAAUGGGUGGUAAAUGCCAUCUAAAGCUAAAUAUUGGCGAGAGACCGAUAGCGAACAAGUACCGUGAGGGAAAGAUGAAAAGAACUUUGGAAAGAGAGUUAAACAGUACGUGAAAUUGUCGAAAGGGAAACGGUUGCAGUCAGUCGCGUCCGCCGGGGAUCAACCUUGCUUUUGCUUGGCGUAUUUCCCGGUGGAUGGGUCAGCAUCAGUUUUGACCGCAGUUGAAAGGCUGGAGGAAUGUGGCACCUUCGGGUGUGUUAUAGCCUCCUGUCAUAUGCUGCGGUUGGGACUGAGGAACUCAGCACGCCGCAAGGCCGGGAUUCGUCCACGUUCGUGCUUAGGAUGCUGGCAUAAUGUCUGUAACCGACCCGUCU
rnacentral:rRNA from 1 species